CAGCCGCCGCGGUAAUACGUAGGGGGCAAGCGUUAUCCGGAUUUACUGGGUGUAAAGGGAGCGCAGACGGCUCUGCAAGUCUGAAGUGAAAGCCCGCGGCUUAACCGCGGGACUGCUUUGGAAACUGCAAGGCUUGAGUAUCGGAGGGGCAGGCGGAAUUCCUAGUGUAGCGGUGAAAUGCGUAGAUAUUAGGAAGAACACCGGUGGCGAAGGCGGCCUGCUGGACGAAAACUGACGUUGAGGCUCGAAGGCGUGGGGAGCAAACAGGAUUAGAUACCCGCGUAGUCCCUGUCUCUUAUAC
rnacentral:rRNA from 1 species